AAACUUUUAAAAGUAUGACUUCUAAUUAUACAAAAGUAUAUGUUACUAAAGUUUU
rnacentral:tRNA from 1 species